rnacentral:rRNA from 1 species
UUCGGCGGCGAUAGCGCGCGGGUCCCACCUGUUCCCAUUCCGAACACAGAAGUGAAACCGCGUAGCGCCGAUGGUACUGCAAGUUUCUCUUGUGGGAGAGUAGGACACCGCCGGAU